GCCCAAAUCAAAGGAACUUACUUCUUCAAGCUCUUCUGGCAGCGGUUCUGACAGUGAUGUUGACAAAAAGUUAAAGAGGAAAAAGCAGGUUGCUCCAGAAAGACCUGUAAAGAAGCAAAAGACUGGUGAAACUUGAAGAGCUCUAUCAUCUUCCAAAGAGAACAGCAGCAGCAGCACAGAUGAUAACAUGAUAAGGUGAAAUGAAACCAGGAAGAGAAGGUAUUUCUUUGAAUUUGGAGCAAAGAAGCCAGCUGAAGGAACAGAUU
rnacentral:lncRNA from 1 species